GUUUCUAUAGUUGAACUACAACGAUGAUUUUUCAUGUCAUUGGUCACAGUUAUACGCUGUGUGGAAAUA
rnacentral:tRNA from 1 species